GGCUCAUUAAAACAGUUAUAGUUUAUUUGAUGGUCUUUACUACAUGGAUAACCGUGGUAAUUCUAUGGCUAAUACAUGCGCACAUGCCUCUUCCCCUGGAAGGGCAGUGUUUAUUAGAUACAGAACCAACCCACCUUCCGGUGGUCCUCAGGUGAUUCAUAGUAACCGAACGGAUCGCGUUGACUUCGGUCUGCGACGGAUCAUUCAAGUUUCUGACCUAUCAGCUUUCGACGGUACUGUAUUGGACUACCGUGGCAGUGACGGGUAACGGGGAAUUAGGGUUCGAUUCCGGAGAGGGAGCCUGAGAAACGGCUACCACAUCUAAGGAAGGCAGCAGGCGCGCAAAUUACCCAAUCCUGAUUCAGGGAGGUAGUGACAAGAAAUAACAACACUGGAAAUUUCAUUUCUAGUGAUUGGAAUGAUAGGAAUCCAAACCCCUUUCAGAGUAACAAUUGGAGGGCAAGUCUGGUGCCAGCAGCCGCGGUAAUUCCAGCU
rnacentral:rRNA from 1 species